rnacentral:rRNA from 1 species
UACGUAGGGUGCAAGCGUUGUCCGGAAUUGUUGGGCGUAAAGAGCUCGUAGGCGGUCUGUUGCGUCGGCUGUGAAAACCCGGGGCUUAACUCCGGGCCUGCAGCCGAUACGGGCAGACUAGAGUUCGGCAGGGGAGACUGGAAUUCCUGGUGUAGCGGUGAAAUGCGCAGAUAUCAGGAGGAACACCGAUGGCGAAGGCAGCUCGCUGGGACGGUACUGACGCUGAGGCGCGAAAGCGUGGGGAGCAAACAGG